AUCCUUUUUGUAGUUCGUAAGUGUGAUGACUGGAUUGUAUACAUGUCUGUGUGAGAUGUGCCUCCCUCUACACCUUGUCAUGACAUCAGCACAUGACCCAUAUGACA
ensembl:snoRNA